rnacentral:lncRNA from 1 species
UAUACAGGGUGUACUGGUAGAGCAAGGCAGGGUGUAUACAGGGUGUACUGGUAGAGCAAGGCAGGCUAUAUACAGGGUGUAUACUGGUAGAGCAAGGCAGGGUGUAUACAGGGUGUAUACUGGUAGAGCAAGGCAGGGUGUAUACAGGGUGUACUGGUAGAGCAAGGCAGGCUAUAUACAGGGUGUACUGGUAGAGCAAGGCAGGGUUAUACAGGGUGUACUGGUAGAGCAAGGCAGGGUGUAUACAGGGUGUACUGGUAGAGCAAGGCAGG